rnacentral:rRNA from 1 species
CAAAACUUUCAACAACGGAUCUCUUGGUUCUGGCAUCGAUGAAGAACGCAGCGAAAUGCGAUAAGUAAUGUGAAUUGCAGAAUUCAGUGAAUCAUCGAAUCUUUGAACGCACAUUGCGCCCGCCAGCAUUCUGGCGGGCAUGCCUGUUCGAGCGUCAUUUCAACCCUCGAGCUCGUCUUCAUUGACGAGAUCGGUGUUGGGA